CUCACUUUUUCUCCAUCAUCUUCUGCAGGUCUGAAGGGGAAUCUGAAGGAUGGAAGGGUUCUAGAGCAAGCCGCAAUCAUCAGAAAGUCACUGCAGCACCACCAGGAGAGUAUGUAAUUAUGGUCCAUGAAGUGACUUCACCUCCAUUCCUAGGCCAGUAUCUCCCACCUGCGUUCAAACUCUUGAGGGUUAUGCCAAAGAGAGGCAAAAGUGCGGGUUUUGAAAAGGAAACAAAAAAAGAUGUUGUCAAUUGAAGAAAAGAAUUUGAAAGAUGUGACCACGACUAAUGCCCAGCUGGACACAGUGAUGAUUUUCAGUUUCUAGAAUCCCGUUUCUUCAGAUGAAGUUAAACAGACUGCCAAGAAAACUAGAAUUAACAAAUCACCAAGCCCAGAUGGAUUUCCUCCUCAAUAUUAUAAAAUAUUUGAAGAUGUGG